AUUGAACGCUGGCGGCAUGCCUAACACAUGCAAGUCGAACGAGUGGCGGACGGGUGAGUAAUGUCUGGGAAACUGCCCGAUGGAGGGGGAUAACUACUGGGAAAGGUAGCUAAUACCGCAUACCAUCGGAUGUACCCAGAUGGGAUUAGCUAGUAGGUGGGGUAAAGGCUCACCUAGGCGACGAUCCCUAGCUGGUCUGAGAGGAAGACCAGCCACACUGGAACGUAGACACGGUCCAGACUCCUACGGAAGGCAGCAGUGGGGAAUAUUGCACAAUGGGGGCAAGCCUGAUUCAGCCAUGCCGCGUGGAUGAAGAAGGCCUUCGGGUUGUAAAUUACUUUCAGCGGGGAGGCGUUACCCGCAGAGGAAGCACCGGCUAACUCCGUGCCAGCAGCCGCGGUAAUUC
rnacentral:rRNA from 1 species